rnacentral:lncRNA from 1 species
GUCCUGUUUUCUUUUCCACUGGUUCACGUAAAGUUAAUAUAAUCCACUGCCAAUUAAGAAAUGAGGCUAGUGAUCUAAAACAACAUCUUUUCUGUGAUCAUUUGUCAGACAGCUCUAUAUGUGCCUGUGGAGAUCCAGUAGAAGAUAAUUUUCAUUUCUUUUAUGUUUGUCCAUCUUACAUUUAUCAGAGAUAUGAGCUCUUUAGAAAAAUAAGUAACUUUAAUAAUGUCAAUCUUGAUGUCCUACUACAGGGUUGCUCAGACUUUAAUAUUGAUGAAAACACAGAGAUAUUUACAUAUGUAC